UUCCUGUGUCUUCAUUGGGUAUCCUUUUACCAAAAUGGGUUAUAAGCUUUAUGACCUUACUUCGAAGAAAUGUCUUAUGUUAUGUGUGUAUAUAUGUAUUUUAUGAUCUCACUUUCAAAGAAUACUUUGUCUCCAGGGAUGUUAUAUUUGAUGAAACCUACUUUCCUUUUAAAAAUGUUUCAUCUCCUGCUCCUUCUUCCUUUCCCUCUGUUCCUCCUCUUGAGCCUUCCUUCUCUGAUGCUGACUUGUUCAUACCUGUUUGUUCCUCUCCUCCUCCUCCUUCUGCCACCACUUCUCCUUCUUCUAAUCCAGCCUCCAUUCCUCCCUUCAAUCCUGAUAUUUCUCCUCCUAAUUUUCCUUCUUCCACAUCUGCUCCUGCUCCCAGAAAAUCUGGAAGACAGCAUAAUCCUCCCUCUUAUCUUAAGGACUAUAUCUGUCAACUUCCUGCCUUUUCAGGCUCUUCUUCUUCUUCUUCUCUGGAUUCUGAACCUCUCUAUUACUCUCAAGCUGCAUCUGUUCCAGUAUGACAUGAUGCCAUGAGAAAGGAGUUUGAUGCCUUGGAUGCCAACCAUACCAAGCUGUAUCGUUCCAGUAUGGCAGGAUGCCAUGAGAAAGAAGUUUGAUGCCUUGGAUCCCAACCAUACCUGGGAUGUUGUUCCUCUUCCUCCUGGUAAGAAUCCCAUAGGUUGCAAAUAGGUUUAUAAUAAUAUAAGGCUGAUGGCAGUGUCGAGAGGCAUAAAGCUAGGCUUGUGAUUAGAGGUGAUACUCAGGUUGAAGGAGUUGAUUUCGCUGACACUUUUUCUCAUGUGGUUAAGAUGUCCACUGUUAAGUAUAUUAUUGCUGUGGCUGUUAAGAAUAAUUGGAAUUUAUUUCAACUUGAUGUUAUCAAUGAUUUCUUACAUGGUGAUUUGGAUGAGGAGGUAUAUAUGAAGCUCCCUCCAGGUUUGAC
rnacentral:lncRNA from 1 species